UCUUUUUCUGAUUGCUAUGGCGAGACGC
rnacentral:sRNA from 1 species